GACGAACGCUGGCGGCGUGCCUAAUACAUGCAAGUAGAACGCACAGUUUAUACCGUAGCUUGCUACACCAUAGACUGUGAGUUGCGAACGGGUGAGUAACGCGUAGGUAACCUGCCUGGUAGCGGGGGAUAACUAUUGGAAACGAUAGCUAAUACCGCACAAUAUUGAUUAUUGCAUGAUAAUUGAUUGAAAGAUGCUAUUGCAUCACUACCAGAUGGACCUGCGUUGUAUUAGCUAGUAGGUGAGGUAACGGCUCACCUAGGCGACGAUACAUAGCCGACCUGAGAGGGUGAUCGGCCACACUGGGACUGAGACACGGCCCAGACUCCUACGGGAGGCAGCAGUAGGGAAUCUUCGGCAAUGGACGAAAGUCUGACCGAGCAACGCCGCGUGAGUGAAGAAGGUUUUCGGAUCGUAAAGCUCUGUUGUAAGAGAAGAACGGGUGUGAGAGUGGAAAGUUCACACUGUGACGGUAUCUUACCAGAAAGGGACGGCUAACUACGUG
rnacentral:rRNA from 1 species